rnacentral:lncRNA from 1 species
CUAAGCAGGAGCAUCAUAGGAGCACAUGGGCACUGAGCUAAGGACACCUGCUGAUACAGCUGAUGCUCAUAGGUCAGAGUUGGUAUUGUUUGUCAUUGGACUGGCAAUGAAGACAGAAGCAGAGGACUUAUUAAUGAAGGGAUGUUGAAGUUUAUCAAAUACCCUUUUCUGUAUCUUUCAAGAUGAUGAUGAUGUUGCUUUUGAUGGAGAUGCUUUGGCGCAGCAGUAGAAACCCCAACUAAGAUCGUGCUUAUGUCAGAUUGGUUUCGUGAUAGAAUCGGAUCUGGACAGCAGUUUCCUUCAAUAAACGUCAGUGGAGCACCUUCUGGGUCCCUGGCAUGGAUGGACAGCAUCCCAAGAGGACUUUAGGUUGCCAUAUGAUUUGUUUCUCAACCAGCAUAUGAACUUUCCCAAGAUGAGGCAGGCCUUUUCAGUGUUACGCCCAAAUCCCAAAUCUAGGUGCAGAGUGCACAGCCAAAUCUCACCAAGCCUUCGUCUUCCUGAUAGAACAUGCUCGAUUUUAGCUGACUUCAUUCAGAAGUAGGAAUCAGAUACUAGUUGGCACAGCAGAAAAAAAAAAAAAAAAAAAAAAACCCAAAUCACCCUCUGGCAAGGAAGGCGUUAUGCAACUGCCUUAGAAGUAAAUUUACCUUCUUAAUUAUGGAUGCCUGUGGCUAUAAUUACAGAUAAGUAGCAUUUCCCACGUCUAAUCUUCUUCCUGCUUCCUUCUCUGAGCCCAUCGGGGUAACUCUCCUGGGCCUUCUAUUUAAUUCUCAGAGGUAGUGAGACAGAUUGAACGAACUUGCCUGACCGGAAGCUCAAAGGCAUCAGAGGUGGGGAGGGACAACACCGCUGAAGAAUCACCAUGUGGAACAGGGAAGCUUUGCUGACCUGCAGCGUCAGACUUCCAGACUGUCUCAACGUAGAGUGGCUUCCUGAGUCCUCCCGCCCUUCCUGGGGUUGUUCUGCAUUCAAUGGGUCAUGAGGCAGGCAUGCAAAACUUAUAUGAGCCGUGCCAGGCAGGUAUCACCCUGGAGUUCCAGAACAGGUGAAUAAACUUUCUCAGGCCUAAAUUAUAAAAAAAAAAAAAAAAAAAAAAAAAAAAAAAAA